rnacentral:rRNA from 1 species
GAUUAAGCCAUGCAUGUGUAAGUGUAAAUAUCCUAGUUUGGAACUGCGAAUGGCUCAUUAUAUCAGUUAUAGUUUAUUUGGUGAAGUGUACUACUUGGAUAACCGUAGUAAUUCUAGGGCUAAUACAUGAGAAAGUCCUCUGGUGAGGUGUGUUUAUUAGAAUGAAAACCAUAUGCUUCGGCAUGAUAGUGAGUAAUAGUAACCUAUCGUAUCGCAUGCUUAAUGUAGCGAUGAGUCUUUCAAGUUUCUGCCCUAUCAGCUUUCGAUGGUAGUAUAUGGGCCUACCAUGG